CUCGAUGUCGGCUCAUCGCAUCCUGGGGCUGAAGUAGGUCCCAAGGGUUGGGCUGUUCGCCCAUUAAAGCGGUACGCGAGCUGGGUUCAGAACGUCGUGAGACAGUUCGGUCCCUAUCUGUCGUGGGCGUAGGAAAUUUGAGAGGAGCUGUCCUUAGUACGAGAGGACCGGGAUGGACGCACCGCUGGUGUACCAGUUGUUCCGCCAGGAGCAUAGCUGGGUAGCUAAGUGCGGAAGGGAUAAGCGCUGAAAGCAUCUAAGCGUGAAGCCCCCCUCAAGAUGAGAUUUCCCAAUGAGUAAGACCCCUUGAAGACGACGAGGUUGAUAGGCCUGAGGUGGAAGUGCAGCAAUGUAUGGAGCUGACAGGUACUAAUCGGUCGAGGGCUUAUCCAAAAA
rnacentral:rRNA from 1 species